GACGAACGCUGGCGGCGUGCUUAACACAUGCAAGUCGAACGCUGAAGCACCAGCUUGCUGGUGUGGAUGAGUGGCGAACGGGUGAGUAAUACGUGAGUAACCUGCCCUUGACUCUGGGAUAAGCCCGGGAAACUGGGUCUAAUACUGGAUGCUACAUGUCACCGCAUGGUGGUGUGUGGAAAGGGUUUACUGGUCUUGGAUGGGCUCACGGCCUAUCAGCUUGUUGGUGAGGUAAUGGCUCACCAAGGCGACGACGGGUAGCCGGCCUGAGAGGGUGACCGGCCACACUGGGACUGAGACACGGCCCAGACUCCUACGGGAGGCAGCAGUGGGGAAUAUUGCACAAUGGGCGAAAGCCUGAUGCAGCGACGCCGCGUGAGGGAUGACGGCCUUCGGGUUGUAAACCUCUUUCAGCAGGGAAGAAGCCACAAGUGACGGUACCUGCAGAAGAAGCGCCGGCUAACUACG
rnacentral:rRNA from 2 species